GACGAACGCUGGCGGCGUGCCUAAUACAUGCAAGUAGGACGCAGUUGCGAGCGGGUGAGUAACGCGUAGGCAUCUACCUAUUAGAGGGGGAUAACUAUUGGAAACGAUAGCUAAUACCGCAUACUAGUAGAUGGACCUGCGUUGUAUUUGCUAGUAGGUAGGGUAAUGGCCUACCUAGGCAACGAUACAUAGUCGACCUGGAGGGGUGAUCGGCCACACUGGGACGGAGACACGGCCCAGACUCCUACGGGAGGGAGCAAGAGGGAAACUUCGGGAAUGGGGGGAACCCUUACCGAGCAACGCCGCGUGAGUGAAGAAGGUUUUCGGAUCGUAAAGCUCUGUUGUUAAGGAAGCGGUACUUAACCAGAAAGGGACGGCUAACUACGUGCCAGCCGCCGCGGUAAUUC
rnacentral:rRNA from 1 species